UAUAUAUAUAUCUAGGAGUUAAGUGGUUGAAGCAUCAUGCUUUUGUGGCGUCCUUAGCCUCUCCUGCUUUACCCUCAACAAACUCGGCAACUUUGUUCCCAGCUUCGUUUCCUUUUGCCUUCACAUAAUCCAAAGCUUUCUGAGCUUCAUCCACUGCAGUGUCUUUGGCUUCAACGUUCUUAUCAACAACGUAGCCUUUUGCUUUCUCGCCAUUUUUCAAGGCCUCCUUUGUCUUCUCCGUCGCGUAAUCCGAAGCUCUCUUUCUGUUCAUGUAUGUGUAUAUUCAGAUUCAUUGUUGACAAAACGUAUAUCCACAUUGGCUAACAUGGAAGUAUCUUACUUAAUUUUCAAAUAUUUGAGUCAAUAUGUAAACUAAAAAAUUAGAAGAGAUAUCAAUUAUAUAUUAUGGUUUAUGAACCUCUAUAUCUUGAAUGAUAUUGUAAUAUCAUGGUUAGUAAUAUAUAUAUAUAUAUAUGUGAGAGUUUUUGGGUGAAUAAGUUUAGACUUUAGACUUACGUGGCUUCAUUGAGGUCAUCCAGAAUGUUGCCGUCACCUUUAUCGGCGUAGAUCAACGACUUCUUGCGCUGAGCGACGACGACGAGCUCAGUUUUCCGGCCAAAACCGACGGCGCCAACGCCGCUCUGCUUGGCUAUGCCGCUGGAGAAAGAAGAACCAAUCCCAAUGAGAACAGCUGAUCCUGAGAGUGACAUAGCCAUGAAAGUUCUCUUUAAAGAGUCAAAAGCGAGCAAAAGAAAUCAAAGGAGGAGUUUUAAUAGGAACAAGAGUGAGAUGAGUAAUAAUCUAUUCUCCAAUAGUAUCAUAGUUUUAUAGAUACUAGACCAACUGCAAUCCAAAUCACGUGGCAUCGUAGAAUUUUUUUAUAAUGCAUUGAUGUUAUUUUCUUUAACUAUUGAAAAAACAGGUCGGCCAUCAAAACUUGUGGUGAUAUACAUGUUAGCAUUUCUGCUUUUAUUUUUUGCAAAAUUAAAAACAAAAAAAUCGGAGUUGUGGGUCGUUAUCGUUACUUCACGUGUACCACCUUUGUUGUGAUAAAAACAAAAGUAUACGUCGGCCAACAUGUUAGUAAAUCUACCCAAAAAAAAAAAAAACGUAUAUGAUGGCAAGCCUAAAAAGUUUUCAAAGUAUAGAUAUAAAAAUAUAACGUAUAUGAUGGCAAGCCUAUCACACUUAUAGAGUGAUAUAUGGUUUAUGGUAUUUCAUGGGGUUCCAUUACAUAAAUAACAAUUAAUUAACGUCAUAUUUGUAAUUUCAAAAGGCAUACCAUUAUAUUUAUUUUCCUUUAAACAACAUAUUUAUCUACUAAAACCAAUUUUUGUAAUUUCAAAAGGCAUACCAUUACAUAAAUAACAAUUAAUUAACGUCACUUUCAGAGAUAUCCUAUCCACUAGGAACUUCUAAACAGACAUGGUAUAAUAGCUUAAAUAAAAACUACAAACCAUAUUUUCACAAAGUUGCAUAUAUAACGGUCACCGGGUGCAAGAUUAGUUUUUUCAAUUAGGAUUUGCAAAAUGGGUUAAAUCGUUUCAUUGAAUGCUAUAUAACAUUGAUUUUUUUUUGUACAAAAUAUUAGCGUGGUGCAUCGAUUUUCUGAUACAUCAGAGCCAAGCCAUCAGGACCGGCUCAAAGAAAUCACGAAUCUUGGACAAAAUGGUUUAAAAUAUUUUUAUACCUAGAUGGGUAACUUAAAAAUUGAGCAAAUUGCAUAAAAACUCUCAAAGUGGUAUUCAUUAACACUUUAAACUUUUAAAGUUUUUCAUUGGCAUUUUAAACUUUCAACCUAACAUUUGUAUCGCAAAAAACUUUAAACUUAACUUAUUUGUUCAUCAAAUUGUAACUAAAUCUUAGAACAUGAAUCUUUCAAUGUCGACCGCAAGAUAACUAUUCAUUUACAUGUAAUAUGUAGUGACAUGUCAGUCUUUAAUAAUAAAAUAAAUAAAAUUAGAUAAUAUAACUUUUUUUCUAAAAUCAUAUUUUAAAAGAAAAAUCUUUCACAUGUUCAAGUAUUAAAUUUUAAACUUUCUAAAAGUAAAUAAAAUAUUCAAAGACUUUUUUAUAAAUUGUCUAAAACUUAAGAAUAUUAUAAAAUUCGAAUUUUUUAACACAAAUUCAAGUAAUAUUGCAACACCGAUUCAAGAGCGGAAGAACACCGAUUCUGGUUGCAACAGACGUAGCAGCACGUGAGUCUCGACAUUCACCACGUGGCUCAUGUUGUGAACUUUGAUCUACCAAAUGACAUUGAUGACUAUGUCCACCGUAUUGGGCGGACAGGACGUGCUGACAAAUCAGGACUUGCAACUGCCUUCUUUAACGAUGGCAACACUUCCAUGGCAAGACCGCCCUCGCUGAGCUGAUGCAAGAAGCUUACCAGGAAGUCCCUGAAUGGCUCACACGAUAUGCCUCGCGUUCCUCUUUUGGUGGUGGUAGGAACCGGCGUGGUGGUGGUUGGUUUGGAGGCCAUGAUUUUAAAUAAGGGUCAUACCUUUACAGUAGAGGAGGAGGCGGUGGUUGUAGCAAUUACUGUGGCGGUGAAGGAGAAGGAGGAGGAGGCUAUGGUGAUGGAUAUGGUGCCCCAAGUGGUGGAUAUAGCGGAGAAACUCCAAGUGCUUGGGGACUAGGCUCCUAGAGUGUUUUUUUUUUUGUUAUAAUUCUUUGAUUACUGUUUUUAUUCUAAAUUUCCAAAGAGCAUGUAUUAGUGUAUUACCCCUUUACAGCUAUAUGAGAUUUCAUUGAAGAGAUGGAUACAUACAUAACUAAUGUUAGGUGAUUUGAUCCUUUGUGCUAUUUUUAGGGGAUGUACUAAAAGUAACAGUCGCCAAGCUUCACAGUGUUUGUAUCUAAGUUUUGAUCAUGUUCCUGGUUUCUUAUAAAGUUAUAGCGCAGCUUCACUUAGUUUUGAAAUCCAUAGAAGUUCUUUUUUAUUACUUUUUUAAUACUUUGAUUUUCUCUUCUAUUCUCCUAAAAGAGCAAGUUUGAGAAGUUGUUCAGACAAACAAACAUAAAAGGAACAAACAUCAAAAGAGAAACACAAUUGAAGCAAACCACUUGAGGGUUGAAACAGAGACAAGCGCCUAAAAUUGGAUAAAUCUGAACCAAGUUUCGAUGAGAGGAGACGAGCUUGCGUAAGAGCGAAGAAGAGAGGCUCGGUUACUGAUGUCAAGACCAUAAAGCUUUGCUCUGAGAGUGAGUUGAAAUUCCUUUACCAAAGUGAUAGCCGGCCUACUAACAUAGGCGAAUGAAAUCUGACAUUUCUUUCUUUCCAAAGAGAAUAAAACCACAGCAUGAAAAAUGAGCAGGCACACCAAAUUUAACUCCUUGUUCGAAACUCUCCUUUUAAGCCAGAUAAUAAUGUCAGUCAAAGAAUAUGGAGGAGAUAAAUCCUAUGUCUGAAGAAGGACGACCAAACAUCCAGCGAAUAAGGACAAAUGACGAACAACUGUGCACUGGUUUCAUCAUUAGCACCACAUAGCAAACAAGAGUGAGGGACAUUCAUACCCCAUUGGAUCAAUUUAUCUCUCGUUGGAAGCCUUUCACCCAAACAGUUUAUCGUUGGAAUACCCCGUUAGUUCUUUUUCAUUCAGUUUCUCAUUAAUAUAUAUGCUUUGAAAACAUCAUCAAGAUCUAACCUAACUUACGGUAUGGUAAUGGUUUAAACUUUAAAGUAUGAUGAUGAGUAGUUAAGUAACAUAUCUUUUAUUUCAAAUAGUGAAAUAGAAGUAAAAACAAACUGAUCUUAUUGUAUAAUAUUAAACAUGAAACAUGAAGGAUUGAUACAUAUAUAUAUAUAUAUACUAGUUAAGUGGUUGAAUCAUCAUGCCUUUGUAGUGUCCUUAUCCUCUCCUGCUUCGUUUCCUUUUUCCUUCACAUAAUCCAAAACUUUCUGAGCUUCAUCCAAUGCAGUGUCUUUGGCUUCAACGUUUUUCUCAUCAACGUAGUCUUUUGCUUUCUCUCCAUCUUUCAACGCCUCCUUUGUCUUGUCUGUCACGUAA
rnacentral:lncRNA from 1 species